rnacentral:rRNA from 1 species
GUCGAGCGGUAGAGAGAAGCUUGCUUCUCUUGAGAGCGGCGGACGGGUGAGUAAUGCCUAGGAAUCUGCCUGGUAGUGGGGGAUAACGUUCGGAAACGGACGCUAAUACCGCAUACGUCCUACGGGAGAAAGCAGGGGACCUUCGGGCCUUGCGCUAUCAGAUGAGCCUAGGUCGGAUUAGCUAGUUGGUGAGGUAAUGGCUCACCAAGGCGACGAUCCGUAACUGGUCUGAGAGGAUGAUCAGUCACACUGGAACUGAGACACGGUCCAGACUCCUACGGGAGGCAGCAGUGGGGAAUAUUGGACAAUGGGCGAAAGCCUGAUCCAGCCAUGCCGCGUGUGUGAAGAAGGUCUUCGGAUUGUAAAGCACUUUAAGUUGGGAGGAAGGGUUGUAGAUUAAUACUCUGCAAUUUUGACGUUACCGACAGAAUAAGCACCGGCUAACUCUGUGCCAGCAGCCGCGGUAAUACAGAGGGUGCAAGCGUUAAUCGGAAUUACUGGGCGUAAAGCGCGCGUAGGUGGUUUGUUAAGUUGGAUGUGAAAUCCCCGGGCUCAACCUGGGAACUGCAUUCAAAACUGACUGACUAGAGUAUGGUAGAGGGUGGUGGAAUUUCCUGUGUAGCGUGACCCGCCCGG